rnacentral:rRNA from 1 species
GACGAACCGUACGAACGUUAUUCGGAAUCACUGGGCUUAAAGGGUGCGUAGGCGGGCGCGACAAGUUGGGUGUGAAAUCCCUCGGCUCAACCGAGGAACUGCGCCCAAAACUGUCGUGCUCGAGGGAGACAGAGGUGAGCGGAACUUAGGGUGGAGCGGUGAAAUGCGUUGAUAUCCUAAGGAACACCGGUGGCGAAGGCGGUUCUCUGGGCCUGUACUGGACGCUGAGGAGCGAAAGCGUGGGGAGCAAACAGG